rnacentral:rRNA from 1 species
AUUGAACGCUGGCGGCAGGCCUAACACAUGCAAGUCGAGCGGACGAAGGGAGCUUGCUCUUGGAUUCAGCGGCGGACGGGCGAGUAAUGCCUAGGAAUCUGCCUGGCCGUGGGGGAUAACGUCAGGAAACGGGCGCUAAUCUCGCAUCCGUCCUGAGGGUGAAAGUGGGGGUUCUUCGGACCUCACGCUAUUAGCUGAGCCUAGGUCGGAUUAGCUAGUUGGUGGGGUAAAGGCCUACCAAGGCGACGAUCCGUAACUGGUCUGAGAGGAUGAUCAGUCACACUGGAACUGAGACACGGUCCAGACUCCUACGGGAGGCAGCAGUAGGGAAUAUUGGACAAUGGGCGAAAGCCUGAUGCAGCCACGCCGCGUGUGUGAUGAAGGUCUUCGGAUUGUAAAGCACUGUAAGUUGGGAGGAAGAACAGUAAGUUAAUACCUGGCUGUUUUGACGUUACCAACAGAGAAAGCACCGGCUAACUUCGUG